GGUGCGUAACGCGUAUGCAAUCUGCCUUUCACAGAGGGAUAGCCCAGAGAAAUUUGGAUUAAUACCUCAUAGUAUUAUGGAAGGGCAUCCUUUUAUAAUUAAAGUCACAACGGUGAAAGAUGAGCAUGCGUCCCAUUAGUUAGUUGGUAAGGUAACGGCUUACCAAGACUUCGAUGGGUAGGGGUCCUGAGAGGGAGAUCCCCCACACUGGUACUGAGACACGGACCAGACUCCUACGGGAGGCAGCAGUGAGGAAUAUUGGUCAAUGGGCGCAAGCCUGAACCAGCCAUGCCGCGUGCAGGAUGACGGUCCUAUGGAUUGUAAACUGCUUUUGUACGAGAAGAAACACUGAUUCGUGAAUCAGCUUGACGGUAUCGUAAGAAUAAGGAUCGGCUAACUCCGUGCCAGCAGCCGCGGUAAUACGGAGGAUCCAAGCGUUAUCCGGAAUCAUUGGGUUUAAAGGGUCCGUAGGCGGUCUUGUAAGUCAGUGGUGAAAGCCCAUCGCUCAACGAUGGAACGGCCAUUGAUACUGCAGGACUUGAAUUAUUGGGAAGUAACUAGAAUAUGUAGUGUAGCGGUGAAAUGCUUAGAGAUUACAUGGAAUACCAAUUGCGAAGGCAGGUUACUACCAAUUGAUUGACGCUGAUGGACGAAAGCGUGGGUAGCGAACAGGAUUAGAUACCCUGGUAGUCCACGCCGUAAACGAUGGAUACUAGCUGUUGGGAGCAAUUUCAGUGGCUAAGCGAAAGUGAUAAGUAUCCCACCUGGGGAGUACGAACGCAAGUUUGAAACUCAAAGGAAUUGACGGGGGCCCGCACAAGCGGUGGAGCAUGUGGUUUAAUUCGAUGAUACGCGAGGAACCUUACCAAGGCUUAAAUGCAGACUGACCGAUUUGGAAACAGAUCUUUCGCAAGACAGUUUACAAGGUGCUGCAUGGUUGUCGUCAGCUCGUGCCGUGAGGUGUCAGGUUAAGUCCUAUAACGAGCGCAACCCCUGUUGUUAGUUGCCAGCGAGUGAUGUCGGGAACUCUAACAAGACUGCCAGUGCAAACUGUGAGGAAGGUGGGGAUGACGUCAAAUCAUCACGGCCCUUACGCCUUGGGCUACACACGUGCUACAAUGGCCGGUACAGAGAGCAGCCACUGGGUGACCAGGAGCGAAUCUAUAAAGCCGGUCACAGUUCGGAUCGGAGUCUGCAACUCGACUCCGUGAAGCUGGAAUCGCUAGUAAUCGGAUAUCAGCCAUGAUCCGGUGAAUACGUUCCCGGGCCUUGUACACACCGCCCGUCAAGCCA
rnacentral:rRNA from 1 species